AGAGUUUGAUCCUGGCUCAGAUUGAACGCUGGCGGAACGCUUUACACAUGCAAGUCGAACGGUAACGUGGGGAGGAGCUUGCUCCACCCCGACGACGAGUGGCGAACGGGUGAGUAAUACAUCGGAACGUGUCCGCUCGUGGGGGACAACCAGCCGAAAGGUUGGCUAAUACCGCAUGAGUUCUACGGAAGAAAGAGGGGGACCCGCAAGGGCCUCUCGCGAGCGGAGCGGCCGAUGACUGAUUAGCCGGUUGGUGAGGUAACGGCUCACCAAAGCAACGAUCAGUAGCUGGUCUGAGAGGACGACCAGCCACACUGGGACUGAGACACGGCCCAGACUCCUACGGGAGGCAGCAGUGGGGAAUUUUGGACAAUGGGCGCAAGCCUGAUCCAGCUAUUCCGCGUGUGGGAUGAAGGCCCUCGGGUUGUAAACCACUUUUGUAGAGAACGAAAAGACACCAUCGAAUAAAUGGUGUUGCUGACGGUACUCUAAGAAUAAGCACCGGCUAACUACGUGCCAGCAGCCGCGGUAAUACGUAGGGUGCGAGCGUUAAUCGGAAUUACUGGGCGUAAAGGGUGCGCAGGCGGUUGAGUAAGACAGAUGUGAAAUCCCCGAGCUUAACUCGGGAAUGGCAUAUGUGACUGCUCGACUAGAGUGUGUCAGAGGGAGGUGGAAUUCCACGUGUAGCAGUGAAAUGCGUAGAUAUGUGGAAGAACACCGAUGGCGAAGGCAGCCUCCUGGGACAUAACUGACGCUCAGGCACGAAAGCGUGGGGAGCAAACAGGAUUAGAUACCCUGGUAGUCCACGCCCUAAACGAUGUUAACUAGUUGUUGGGAAGUAACAUUCUCAGUAACGCAGCCAACGCGAGAAGUUAACCGCCUGGGAAGUACGGUCGCAAGACUAAAACUCAAAGGAAUUGACGGGGACCCGCACAAGCGGUGGAUGAUGUGGAUUAAUUCGAUGCAACGCGAAAAACCUUACCUACCCUUGACAUGUCAGGAAGCUCUUGUAAUGAGAGCGUGCCCGCAAGGGAGCCUGAACACAGGUGCUGCAUGGCUGUCGUCAGCUCGUGUCGUG
rnacentral:rRNA from 1 species